rnacentral:lncRNA from 1 species
CGGCAGUGCGUUGAUCUUAUCACUCUGCAUCAUCCCUUUCUGGGAUCCUACAUACACUGGAGAGUUGUGACUAUCUUCUUGAUCAUUUAGUAGAGCCCAUGAUUCAGGGUGAGGAAAUUUGCGAGAUUCGAUCAACCUGUUGAGAUUGCCAAUCUGGUUUCCCUUGCAUGAAAUGAGGAAAGUUGUAAAGUAGCAAGACAACACAAGCAGCAAGUAUUUAAUAGUAACUUUCAUGGUGGCCUCUGG